rnacentral:rRNA from 1 species
CCUACGGGGGGCUGCAGUGAGGAAUAUUGGUCAAUGGCCGAGAGGCUGAACCAGCCAAGUCGCGUGAGGGAAGACGGCCCUACGGGUUGUAAACCUCUUUUGUCGGGGAGCAAAGCGCACCACGUGUGGUUCAUUGAGAGUACCCGAAGAAAAAGCAUCGGCUAACUCCGUGCCAGCAGCCGCGGUAAUACGGAGGAUGCGAGCGUUAUCCGGAUUUAUUGGGUUUAAAGGGUGCGCAGGCGGAGGUGCAAGUCAGCGGUAAAAUUGCGGGGCUCAACCCCGUACUGCCGUUGAAACUGCAUCCCUUGAGUGCGCGAGAAGUAGGCGGAAUGCGUGGUGUAGCGGUGAAAUGCAUAGAGAUCACGCAGAACUCCGAUUGCGAAGGCAGCAUACCGGCGCGCAACUGACGCUGAUGCACGAAAGCGUGGGUAUCGAACAGGAUUAGAUACCCUAGUAGUC